AUGACGUCGACCGCGGCGGCGUCCGGCUCCGACUCCCGGCGGCUCUUGCCCGGCCGUCAGAACUCCCAUCAGAUGGACAGGAUCAAUGGAAAUGGCCAGAAGUCUGCCACUCAAGCCUCCACAUUCUCCGAUGGAGCAGACGAAUUUGACGACGACGCGCUUAUUGCCUCGGAAGCGCUGUCUUGCAGAACUGGCGGCUUUGAGAGAAAUGCAGGCCCUGGGAAUUUGGGGAUGUUUGGUAGCCUGAAGUUUGUGGUGCUCAAGUCAAAGCUCAACCUGUUGAUACCGUGUGGCUUUGUGGCAAUCGUCGUCAAGGACAUGACAGGAAAUAAUGGUUGGGUGUUUCCCCUGACUCUGUUGGGCAUUAUUCCUUUGGCCGAGCGACUGGGCUUCGCCACCGAGCAGUUAGCAUUCUUCACAGGCCCAACAGUUGGGGGCCUUCUGAAUGCUACAUUUGGAAAUGCGACCGAGUUGAUUAUAUCGAUCCAUGCGCUAAGGAGUGGAAAGUUACGAGUUGUCCAGCAGUCUCUGCUAGGGUCCAUCCUGUCAAACUUGCUUCUGGUUCUCGGUUGCGCAUUUUUCAGUGGAGGGGUCACUUGUGGCAAAACUGAGCAGAACUUCAGCAAGUCAGAGGCAGUAGUGAGCUCUGGGCUGCUUUUGAUGGCCGUAUUGGGGUUGCUGCCUCCUACUGUGCUGCAUUACACUCAUUCAGAAGUCCACUCUGGAAAGUCAGGACUAGCCUUGUCAAGGUUCAGCAGCUGCGUCAUGCUUGUUGCUUACGCUUGCUACAUCUACUUUGAACUGACAACCAGUCGCCGUCGUGAGGAAUCUAAUGAAGGAAGAGGUGAGAAUGUAGGGGAUGCCGACAACAUCGAAGCUCCUGACAUUUCAAAAUGGGAAGCCAUUUCCUGGCUUGCAAUUUUGACAAUUUGGAUCUCAGUACUCUCUGACUACUUAGUUAAUGCAAUCGACGGGGCUUCCCAAGCUUGGAAUAUACCGGUUGCGUUCAUCAGUGUUAUUUUGCUUCCGAUUGUGGGGAAUGCUGCAGAACAUGCUAGUGCUGUCAUGUUUGCAAUGAAAGACAAAUUAGAUCUUUCCCUUGGAGUUGCAAUAGGGUCGUCAACGCAAAUGUCCAUGUUUGGGAUACCAUUUUGUGUAGUGAUAGGGUGGAUGAUGGGCCAGCCCAUGGACUUGAACUUUCAUCUUUUCGAGACCGCAAGCCUCUUAAUGACGGUACUGGUUGUCGCUUUUUUGUUGCAGGAUGGGACUUCAAAUUGCUUAAAAGGGUUGAUGCUGUUUCUAUGCUAUCUGAUAGUCGCUGCUAGUUUCUAUGUACAUUCCGAUCAGGAUCCUGAUGGCAAGUUCUUCACUUCUGCACUUCCUCUGCCUGUUCUUUUAUCUUUCAGAUCAAAAGCUUUACACACUGCUUUGAUUAAAGCCACCGGGUUCGGGUACAUGGUUGAUUAG
rnacentral:rRNA from 1 species